rfam:Callipepla squamata strain Texas jcf7180005234266, whole genome shotgun sequence.
UGAAAGGAACAUAUGUCAUUUUUCUAAAAUUGGAACAAUAAGGAGAAGAUUAGGAUGGCCCUUGUGCAAGGAUGACAAGGAAGUUCAAGAAGUGUUCCAAAUUUUU